UAAGAAAACAGUGUCUACACUCUACAGUCGUAGUGUGUUGAGUUGAAGUUUGGAGUCAAAUUCAAAUGGGCAAACUGUAAACGAUAGUCCAUAACAACACAGCAAGUAGAACCCUAAACAAAAAGCAAGCAAAAAAAAUGAGUGUGUGUCUGCGUCGUCCUCUCCACUCCACUCUCUUAUUCUCUUCUUCUUCUUAUACUGCUGCUACUAGAACUAGUACUAUCUCACCCAAGAGAUUAGGCCGUGUUUGGUCUCAACGUUCUUCUCUCAUGUCAGUGCCAGUGCCACUGCAAGUACCACCACCCUUCGCCUUUUGAAGCUACCCACUCCACCAGGGCAUACCAAAAGCCAGAGUUGGGUGAUGGGCUCCAAGAUCAUGUUCAAGACCAAUUCUUUUGCAAUCCCAUUUGCUCAUUCUUCACAUAGGUACUUCUUCUCUGCCUCUUCUUCCAAACCCGUCUCUAAAAUUCAUUCUUUACCCCUCCAGACUAAUGGCUUCUCUUCCAUCUCUCAUGUCAAUGUUCCCAGACCAGAUAUUUUGGAGAGCCCAGCAGAAUAUAGGCUU